rnacentral:lncRNA from 1 species
CAAUGGCGCACUUCUGCCCCGAUACAUGCUCCUAGAAAAACUUAAAUUUGGGUUUGUUGGAUUGCUGACGAACCCAAUACUCCUGCUGCUAAAUUUUUUUGGCCUAGUCGUACCACGACUAUUGGCUGUAUUUGAAUUUGCUACCAUAGAAUUGACAGCAAAAUCAGGUAGGGAUUUUAAGGUAAUAUUAUCCUCAACUCCCAUCACAAAUUGUCCUGCCGAAAAAUUAGAUCGGUUGGAUUGCUGACGAACCCAAUACUCCUGCUGCUAAAUUUUUUUGGCCUAGUCGUACCACGACUAUUGGCUGUAUUUGUAUUUGCUACCAUAGAAUUGACUGCAAAAUCAGGUAGGGACUUUAAGGUAAUAUUAUCCUCAACCCCCAUCACAAAUUGUCCUGCCGAAAAGUUAGCCAAGGCCCAUGCUGCAGCCAAGUGAUCACACUUCCACAGUUUAGUGGCAGAUAUCUCGCCAAUUAUUUUAUAGUAAUCAUCUGCAAC